GAGCGGGGUUGCCUGGCAACCUGCGUCCGAGCGCGCGGAACGCUGCGCCUCCCCGGGGACAGUCCGGAGUCCGCGCUGUGGAAGAGGAGGAAUACUUGCCGGAGCUGAUGGCGGAGAAAGAGCCUGGACCCAUGGUUUGAGCACCGUCGCACCUUUUGGCCCAAGUCUUUCCUAUGGAUGGUCUUGGGAUAAACCUAGAUUAAAUGAUGCAAGUUCAACCGUGUUUGUGAAUGUGGAAGAGGCCAAAGUGCUUAUCAGUUUAUUUGAAGUGUGGUGAUUGGGGGCCCUGGGAGGUCUGGUCCCUGGCGUCGCUCCACAGUUGAUCAGCAGUUUUACCAAGUGUGCAUUUUCUUUCGUGUACUUGUAUUGUUAAAAGAGAUUUCGUUCUCAGAGGAACA